rnacentral:lncRNA from 1 species
GCCCUUUCUGCUGUGAAGAAGUUUGCCGAAGAGCUGUAACCCUGCACUCUGCUAUGUAAACCACCUACAGAAAUGGCAGAGGGUUCAUAGAAAGACCUGUGGACAAUUCGUGCAACUGCUUCAAAAGGAGAGAUUCACUCUCCUGGUCUCCUAAAGGAACAGUAUUGUCUACUUGUUGGCCAAGCCCUGAAACAGAAGCAAUGAUGCUGCUUUACCAACCUUCCGUUUAACUCUGGGCAAAUGCACUUUCAUCCCUCUAA